rnacentral:rRNA from 1 species
UACGAAGGGGGCUAGCGUUGCUCGGAAUCACUGGGCGUAAAGGGUGCGUAGGCGGGUCUUUAAGUCAGGGGUGAAAUCCUGGAGCUCAACUCCAGAACUGCCUUUGAUACUGGGAAUCUCGAGUCCGGGAGAGGUGAGUGGAACUGCGAGUGUAGAGGUGAAAUUCGUAGAUAUUCGCAAGAACACCAGUGGCGAAGGCGGCUUACUGGUCCGGUUCUGACGCUGAGGCGCGAAAGCGUGGGGAGCAAACAGG